GUCACUUCGGGACAUCCGAUAAAAUUUGAACGAUACAUGGAAGAUUAGCAUGGUCCCUGCGGAAGGAAGGAUGACAUACACAAAUCGAGAAAUUAUCCAAAAUUUU
rfam:Brassica napus, WGS project CCCW01000000 data, contig: 3333